rnacentral:rRNA from 1 species
UACGGGGGGGGUAAGCGUUGUUCGGAAUUACUGGGCGUAAAGGGCUCGUAGGCGGCCAACUAAGUCAGACGUGAAAUCCCUCAGCUUAACUGGGGAACUGCGUCUGAUACUGGAUGGCUCGAGUGUGGGAGAGGAAUGCGGAAUUCCAGGUGUAGCGGUGAAAUGCGUAGAUAUCUGGAGGAACACCGGUGGCGAAGGCGGCAUUCUGGUCCAUAACUGACACUGAGAGACGAAAGCCAGGGGAGCAAACGGG